rnacentral:lncRNA from 1 species
GCAAGUCAGCAGAGCAGGAGGAAUGUUGUGUGGUCUACAGCAGUGGACAGGAAACGAAGUCUCAUAGUUACAUGCAACACAGCAUGGGAGGUAAAAUAAACCAUUUGUGUGGAUCCUAACGGCUUUCUAUGAAGUAAGGCAUCUUUCAUACACUUGAGUCCUCCAACUGAGUGAAUAAUCAACAGGCCCACGUGGAAACUCAAUUUUAGCUGAGGGACUCCAGAACAUCCACUUGUGUACCAGGGGAGAAAACCAAGACAAUGCAGUAUGAGAAAUUCUUCUUCUUUGGAACUCUCUGAGCGUCCUGGAUUUGGAUGUCUGUUUCUUGCACCAGGAAGCAGGCUGAGAAGGCUUCUCCAUCCUGGGAGAAUUUGAAGUCCAGAGAAGUCACAUGGCCACGGCAGUUCUGACAUCUGGGAAAACACUCUGAAAACCCCUUGCCCUGGAGGAGGCGAUGAUCUUUUAUUGGGCUCUU